GGGGCUUUAAUUCAACGGUAGAAUAUCCGUUUUGCAUACGGAAGAUUCGGGUUCAAGUCCCGAUCGCUCCA
rfam:Babjeviella inositovora NRRL Y-12698 unplaced genomic scaffold BABINscaffold_21, whole genome shotgun sequence.